rnacentral:misc_RNA from 1 species
UUUCCGUAGGUGAACCUGCGGAAGGAUCAUUAUUGGAUUUUGAAACUUCAGGCUGUUGCUGGCUCUCCUCGGAGGGCAUGUGCACGCUUGUUGUCCAUUAUUUCUCCCACUGUGCACAAAUUGUAGACCUUUCAGUAGGCCUAUGUUGUUUUUCACAAUCUCUGAAUGUAAUAGAAUGGUUUUGAAUCUUGGGAAAUACAAUACAACUUUCAGCAACGGAUCUCUUGGCUCUCGCAUCGAGAAGAACGCAGC